rnacentral:rRNA from 1 species
AAUUGAAGAGUUUGAUCAUGGCUCAGAUUGAACGCUGGCGGCAGGCCUAACACAUGCAAGUCGAGCGGAAACGACUUAACUGAACCUUCGGGGAACGUUAAGGGCGUCGAGCGGCGGACGGGUGAGUAAUGCCUGGGAAUAUGCCUUAGUGUGGGGGAUAACUAUUGGAAACGAUAGCUAAUACCGCAUAAUGUCUUCGGACCAAAGAGGGGGACCUUCGGGCCUCUCGCGCUAAGAUUAGCCCAGGUGAGAUUAGCUAGUUGGUGAGGUAAGAGCUCACCAAGGCGACGAUCUCUAGCUGGUCUGAGAGGAUGAUCAGCCACACUGGAACUGAGACACGGUCCAGACUCCUACGGGAGGCAGCAGUGGGGAAUAUUGCACAAUGGGCGAAAGCCUGAU